rnacentral:rRNA from 1 species
UUACGGUCAAAUCACGCUGAAAACACCGGUUCUCGUUCGAUCACCGAAGUUAAGCAUCGUAGAGUUAAGCAUCGUAGAGCCAGGUCAGUACUUAGAUGGGGGACCGCUUGGGAACACCUGGUACUGUAAG